rnacentral:rRNA from 1 species
GAAUAUUGGUCAAUGGGCGCAAGCCUGAACCAGCCAUGCCGCGUGCAGGAUGACGCAUCUAUGGUGUGUAAACUGCUUUUGUACAGGAAGAAACAGUUCUUUGCGAAGAACCUUGACGGUACUGUAAGAAUACGGAUCGGCUAACUCCGUUCCCGCAGCCGCGGUAAUACGGAGGAUCCAAGCGUUAUCCGGAAUCAUUGGGUUUAAAGGGUCCGUAGGCGGCCUUAUAAGUCAGCGGUGAAAGUUUUUGGCUUAACCAAAAAAUUGCCAUUGAUACUGUAGGGCUUGAAUGUUUGUGAAGUAACUAGAAUAUGUAGUGUAGCGGUGAAAUGCUUAGAUAUUACAUGGAAUACCAAUUGCGAAGGCAGGUUACUAACAAAUGAUUGACGCUGAUGGACGAAAGCGUGGGUAGCGAACAGG